UACAUGUGGGGCAAGCGUUGUUCGGAAUUACUGGGCGUAAAGGGCUCGUAGGCGGCCAACUAAGUCAGACGUGAAAUCCCUCGGCUUAACCGGGGAACUGCGUCUGAUACUGGAUGGCUUGAGUUCGGGAGAGGGAUGCGGAAUUCCAGGUGUAGCGGUGAAAUGCGUAGAUAUCUGGAGGAACACCGGUGGCGAAGGCGGCAUCCUGGACCGAUACUGACGCUGAGGAGCGAAAGCGUGGGGAGCGAACAGG
rnacentral:rRNA from 1 species